rnacentral:lncRNA from 1 species
GGGUGUUUGUUGGUGGCUGGUUUAUCAUGGAGUCUCUACAUCUGAAGUACAUAGCAGAUCACUAAGAAGAUACGUGAACUGUAUAAUGGGGAAACGUAAACGUCCAGGUGUAAUGAAGGAAGUCCUGAUUGAAAACACCAUGAUGGAGAAUCAUAGCUCUUCAAUGCUGACCUAUAUCCAAGAACUGAGAUGUUUGACAGUUCCUGAGACUUCUGAGUGAACGGAAACCUUGAAAUAUUUGAAUAAUCUUGUUUAUUACCACACAUUUCUGUGGAGUAAGUUAACAGAAGCCUUGACCUCUGAUACAUGGCUAUGGAUGGAACAGAGCCCCCACAAAGGUGGUCCUGCUUCUCUUGUCAGUGAUCGCGUAGAACAAGAAGUUCGCAGCUUCCCUGGUCGGCCAUUCUGCUUGCAGCGCUUCAAGAAUCUACUUUUUGAGACAAACUUUAUAAAAGGAUUUGUGUAAAGGCAAAAGGAAGCAGAUGAAACUCACACUCUGCCCCAAAGAAAACUGUAUUAACUUACCACAUUAAAAACAUAUGUAUUCUUUAAAUAGCUAUUGAAGGAGUAGACUGAAAAUAACCAAAACGAACACAGAGGAAGUAAAUCAAGAAUGAGAUGUGGGAAUAAAAGAGUGACACACAUUUUCCCUGGAAAAAUGUCAUGCAAAAAGAUAAUAAAGAAUGGC